rnacentral:rRNA from 1 species
GCGGAAGCGGCGGUGGAUUGUACAUGAGAGAGAAUGCCGGAAUGAGUAGCGAGAAUUAUGUGAGAAUCAUAAUGGCCGAAAAUCUAAAGUCUCCUGAGGAAGGUUCGUCCGCUCAGGGAAAGCCGGGAGCUAAGGUGAGGCGGAAACGCGUAGCCGAUGCACAUACGGUAGAGAUUCCGUAGCCUCCGAAAAGUAAAGCACAGGGACGCUUCAGAAGUGUUACGCCGGGCGAUGGUAGCCCCGGUUGUAAAGGACACAAUUGAGUGGAAGGUAACAUGGAUGGAGACAAGAAAAGCUGUGUGUAUCUGGAAGGAGCCCGUACCGCAAACCGACACAGGUAGAUAGGAAGAAGAUUCUAAGGCCAGCGGGAGAAGGGUUGUUAAGGAACUCGGCAAGUUGACCCCGUAACUUCGGGAGAAGGGGUGCUUACGAAGGUAAGCCGCAGAGAAUAGGCCCAAGCGACUGUUUAGCAAAAACACAGCUCUAUGCUAAAUCGAAAGAUGACGUAUAUGGGGUGACACCUGCCCGGUGCUGGAAGGUUAAGAGGAGAUGUGAGAGCAUUGAAUUGAAGCCCCAGUAAACGGCGGCCGUAACGAUAACGGUCCUAAGGUAGCGAAAUUCCUUGUCAGGUAAGUUCUGACCCGCACGAAUGGUGUAACGAUUUGGGCACUGUCUCAACAACCUACCCGGCGAAAUUGUAGUACCGGUGAAGAUGCCGGUUACCCGCGACUAGACGGAAAGACCCCAUGGAGCUUCACUGUAGCUUAAUAUUGAAUUUUGGUAUUUCAUGUACAGGAUAGGUGGGAGACUGGGAAAUACAGGCGUCAGCUUGUAUGGAGUCACUGUUGGGAUACCACUCUUGAGGUGCUGAAAUUCUAACCUGCGUCUUUGAAUCAAGACGGGGGACAUUGUUAGGUGGGCAGUUUGACUGGGGCGGUCGCCUCCAAAAGAGUAACGGAGGCGCUCAAAGGUUCGCUCAGCAUGGACGGAAACCAUGCCAAAGAGUGCAAACGCAAAAGCGAGCCUAACUGCGAGACUGACGGGUCGAGCAGUAACGAAAGUUGGAGUUAGUGAUCCGGCGGUAUGUGAGUGGAAAUGCCGUCGCUCAACGGAUAAAAGCUACCCUGGGGAUAACAGGCUGAUCUCCCCCAAGAGUCCACAUCGACGGGGAGGUUUGGCACCUCGAUGUCGGCUCAUCGCAUCCUGGGGCUGAAUUCGGUCCCAAGGGUUUGGCUGUUCGCCAAUUAAAGCGGUACGCGAGCUGGGUUCAGAACGUCGUGAGACAGUUCGGUCCCUAUCUGUCGUGGGCGUAGGAUAUUUGAAAGGAGCUGUCCCUAGUACGAGAGGACCGGGAUGGACGCACCUCUGGUGAACCAGUUGUCACGCCAGUGGCACGGCUGGGCAGCUAAGUGCGGAACGGAUAAACGCUGAAAGCAUCUAAGCGUGAAGCCGACCUUAAGAUAAGAUAUCCGUUCUUCGGAAUAAGACCCCUUGUAGACUACGAGGUUGAUAGGCUUAAAGUGUAAGCAUGGUGACAUGUUUAGCUUGCAAGUACUAAUCGGUCGAUUGCUUUUCC